rnacentral:misc_RNA from 1 species
GAUAUCGAUAAACAAUAAUAAUAAACCAUAAANACGACGACAGUAACAUUAAUAACAAUAAUAAUAUUAUGUGAAAAUUGCGAACUGUGAACCGACCGUUAAUCGCUAUAUUAUUAUUAUUAUUCACGCACGCCGGUCGUUACAAUAAUAUGCUAUCGACCCGUUUAUGANCACAUAAAACAAGAAAUCGUAAAAAAAUAAAUAAAAAGAAACCGAAGAACGCCGGCGGUGUCUCUCUUGCUCACUCUUUCCGCUCCGUUUUAAUAAUAUUAAUAUCCAUUUUGCGAUCCUCUCGGGACGUGUCGCGUUUCGACCGUCGUGCUGACACUGCUAGGCACCGCGAUUCGUGAUGGCAGAUCGCGUGCGACCGUUGCCGGCGAUGAGACGUAAUUCGCCUCCGCCACCGCCGCCGUCGUCGUCGUCGUCGUCGCAGAAUUCCAGAACGGCGCUGCAAACGGGAAGAGGAAAAUAAAAUAAUAUCACAAAUAUAUAUAGUCCGAAGUCGUGGUCGCUGCCAAUCGCCGUGGUCGCCGGCGGAGUGGGGUAACGUGUGUNCGAGAAUGUAUCUCGAAAUGCUAAAAAUAGCCACCAUCAUCCGCCCGCCGCGAACGAUUCUAUCCUAAUUCUUUUUCCACACGCAGACUUUUAUUUCGUUUUCCUGCGUAUAUUUCGAUUAAAUCAUAACUGCACCGUAUAGUAGUACCACCGUCAAUCGGGGUUUUCGUAUUUUUUUAUUAUUUUUUUCACGUUCCUCUCAUCAGUACUUAUUAUACCUAGUUUGAAAUUUUUUUCAAAAAUGUUGUCCAAUUUUUUCCGUUCACUCCACCGUACGUCAUGUCGAAUCGUCGUGUGAUGACCAUAGUCACACGUCUGUUGUUGUAGGUAGGUAGUACAUGUGUGGUUGACGAAAUCGAAAAAAAAUUAAUUCAACACCGUACACUAGAUAUUGAUCGUGCAAAUGAUCGAAACACUCAAACUGAACACUGACAACGAAACACGAUACUUGUGAUUUGUGAACAUACCUCAACAAGUGCUUAACAAAAUGGUUGUUCCAGAAAACGGAAUUAUGUGUGAUAAUAUUAUGCGAGGUAUAGAAAAAAAUGGUGGCGGUAUACAUUUGCACAAUAGAAAACAAAAAUUGAAACAAAAAUUUGAUAUACUGAAAAAACUAGGAGAAGGAUCUUGUGGAAAAGUUCAAUUAGGUAUUUGUAAGGAAACUGAACAGCUGGUUGCUAUCAAAACAAUAAGNAAGCGGAAAAUAGAGACUGAAGCAGAUUUAAUACGAAUAAGGCGAGAAAUACAAAUUAUGUCUUCUGUAAGACAUCCUAAUAUUAUUCAUAUUUAUGAAGUAUUUGAAAAUCGUGAAAAAAUUGUGUUAGUAAUGGAGUAUGCAGCUGGAGGUGAACUUUAUGAUUUCCUCAGUGAGAAAAAAGUUCUUGCUGAAGAAGAAGCUAGAAGAAUAUUUAGACAAGUGGCUAUUGCUAUUUUUUACUGNCAUAAGCAUAAUAUUUGUCAUCGUGAUCUCAAACUGGAAAACAUAUUAUUGGAUGAACAAGGAAAUGCUAAGAUUGCUGAUUUUGGGUUAUCAAAUGUGUUUAAUCACAAAGCGCUUUUGUCAACAUAUUGUGGUAGUCCAUUGUAUGCAUCUCCAGAAAUUGUCACUGGUACUCCUUAUCAUGGCCCUGAAGUAGAUUGCUGGUCUUUAGGUGUUUUAUUAUACACUUUAGUGUAUGGAACAAUGCCAUUUGAUGGAUCAAAUUUCAAACGUCUNGUUAGACANAUUUCGCAGGGCGAAUACUAUGAACCAAAUAAACCAUCAAGAGCUUCUCCUUUGAUUAGUAGUAUGAUGACAGUAAAUCCUAAUNCACGUGCUGAUAUCCGUACAAUAUGUUCACAUCAGUGGUUAAACGAAGGUUUUUCUGAUGGAAAUCAAUGUUUACGCAUUGCGGAAGAAAUGGCUUCCUCAACUCCAGUUAGAUUAGACUUGUUAUUAUCCUUAGCACCUACCCCUAAGGAAUCCAAUAAUAAUUUAGGUAUUCCACCUAAUCAAAGUAAUACUGAAAAUGAUGUACGAUCUGAGACGGGGCCUGUAAGGUCUCAAAGUUUAGGAAGUAUAUCUCCAUCACGUGCUACUGCUGUUAUACCCGAUUCACCUGUGGAGAAAAAACCUAAGAAAUUAAAAAAAAGAGAUCGUUCUAUUAGUCGUUCUAAAAAAUCUAGUCAAUCUGAUACAGGUGAAAAUGAUCUCGAAACUCCAACGUCUAAAGAAUCUUCUAAAUCUAUUAUAAGUAAUUCAAAGAGUGAUCUACCACAAUCUCCAUUACAGUCUACAACAAAUAGUGAAUCUGAUGUAGUAAAACCUGUUGAAAGAGCUCGACGACGAUCUAGUAGGGUUUUAGAAGCUGUAGAAAAAUUAGACCAAAUUGAAUCCAUGGCAAAAAAUAAUUUUGAUCAAAAGAGAAGAAGUUCUCUUGGCAGUGGCUCAUCAAAUAGUUCCAAAAAGAGUAUUGAGUCUGAUGGGUCUGCCACUCGAGAGCCAACAAAAGAACCACAAUUCAGUUUAGAGUCUACUAUUGGUCUAAAUAAACUNGCCGAGUCAGCAUUAAAUANUGAACCAAUUUAUGGAACACAGUCAAAUAAAAAUGAUUUUAAGAAUCUUCCUGAUGAUUUGAGAAAAAGCUUAAAUGCUAUCAGGAUAAUUGGAGAUUCCAUUUCUGACAGUAAUACAUCAAGUAAAGUGGUUGAACCAAAGAGGAAAACUUCAAGAGCUGAGAUAAAAUUAGCUAAGCCCGAGUUACCAAUUAGUAGUGUCAUUAAUAAUUCUAAAGUUCAAGAUAAUGAUNCAAUAGAUGCAAAUUAUAAAACUGAAGUAAAACAUUUUGUUCAAGUGCCUAAACCAACCAGACGUAUAACUGAAGUAUCUUUCCCAGUUGCUGGAGCUACUCCAACUGCAGUGGCACCAUUNCCACCUAGACCUGUUUUAAGACAAAANAGUCAACUUCGUGAACACAUCAUACCUAUACGAUUUGAAGUAGAAGAUAAACCAAAACCUAAACCAGUUCAGAGAGUUUCAUCUGUCACUAGUCCCAAGACCAGUUGCAGUAAUUUGUCACGACAAAGUACUGUGGACACAGAUAGUAAUAGCAGUAUUGUAAGCUUAGGAGAGCCAAUAAGGAAAUCUCCCAGAGAAGUUAUUAUACCUAUUGCGGUUGAAGGUGGAGGUUUUGUUACACCUAGUAAUAGUGCACUUUCUAGAACAAAUUCAAAUAGUGAUAAGGGUGAUGAUGAUAAUGGUACAGUUGGUGGNCAGCCUAGAUGUUUCACAUUGCGUAGUACACGCAGACAAAGGCCAUCUAUGAGAAAUAUACAAUCGACUGAAAGUAUAAGUUCAGAUGAGGAAGACGACAGUUUUGAAAUUUUAACUGCUGAGAAUUUAUUCUCUACAUUACUAUCCAGAGUACGGGAUUUAACAAAUAGAUUGAGCAGUGAUGAAGGAAGGUCAUCUGACUUUCCAAGAUCAUUUUUCAAUCAUCAUCGUUCUAUAUUUGANCACCAAACUCCAAUUCGGCGCCUAACUGAAACUCGAUCAUUUAAUCGGUCUGACAAUGCCCCGUGGAGAAGAAGUUUUACUUCAACUACUCAAGAUAGUCCAUCUAACGCUNCUACUAAAGCCAAUGUGACGGUGCAUGUGCCACGUGUACAAGACGAGUAAUAAUGAUACUUCCUUCUGCCUGUCCAUAAUUUAAACCAAAAACAAAUCUAUACAUAUUACCUAUGCCACAAAUCUAUAGAAAUGCUUAAAAAUGCUGAUAAAACGACUAAUAUUCAGAAACCACCUGUGUACAAGCAUAUUCUGCCACGCGUUCUGGAAACCACAACUAAUA